GAUGAACGCUGGCGGCGUGCCUAAUACAUGCAAGUCGAACGAAAAGACGAGGAGGUUUCUCGUCUAGCGGUAGCGGGGGGCGGGUGAGUAACACGUGCAUAACCUACCUGUAAGACUGGGGUAACUACGUGAAACCGGUACCAAAAACGGACAAUAUUUUGAACCGCUUGGUGCAAUAGUUAAUGACGGUUUUUCUGCCUCUAUUAGAUGAAUUCGUGCGGCAUUAGCUAGUUGGUAAGGUAACGGCUUACCAAGGCGACGAUGCGUAGCAGACCUGAGAGGAUGAUCGGCCACAAUGGAACUGAGACACGGUCCAGACUCCUACGGGAGGCAGCAGUGGGGAAUAUUGCACAAUGGGCGCAAGCCUGAUGCAGCCAUGCCGCGUGUAUGAAGAAGGCCUUCGGGUUGUAAAGUACUUUCAGCGGGGAGGAAGGGAGUAAAGUUAAUACCUUUGCUCAUUGACGUUACCCGCAGAAGAAGCACCGGCUAACUCCGUG
rnacentral:rRNA from 1 species